UACGGAGGGGGCAAGCGUUGUUCGGAAUUACUGGGCGUAAAGGGCGCGCAGGCGGCUGCUCAAGUCAGGCGUGAAAGGCCUGGGCUCAACCCGGGAAUUGCGCUUGAGACUGGGCUGGCUUGAGUGCGGGAGAGGUGGAGUGGAAUUCCUAGUGUAGAGGUGAAAUUCGUAGAUAUUCGGAGGAACACCAGUGGCGAAGGCGGCUCACUGGUCCAUUACUGGACGCUGAGGUGCGAAAGCGUGGGGAGCAAACAGG
rnacentral:rRNA from 1 species